rnacentral:rRNA from 1 species
UGGGGAAUAUUGGACAAUGGGCGAAAGCCUGAUCCAGCCAUGCCGCGUGUGUGAAGAAGGUCUUCGGAUUGUAAAGCACUUUAAGUUGGGAGGAAGGGCAUUAACCUAAUACGUUAGUGUUUUGACGUUACCGACAGAAUAAGCACCGGCUAACUCUGUGCCAGCAGCCGCGGUAAUACAGAGGGUGCAAGCGUUAAUCGGAAUUACUGGGCGUAAAGCGCGCGUAAGUGGUUUGUUAAGUGGGAUGUGAAAGCCCCGGGCUCAACCUGGGAACUGCAUCCAAAACUGGCAAGCUAGAGUACGGUAGAGGGUGGUGGAAUUUCCUGUGUAGCGGUGAAAUGCGUAGAUAUAGGAAGGAACACCAGUGGCGAAGGCGACCACCUGGACUGAUACUGACACUGAGGUGCGAAAGCGUGGGGAGCAAACA